rnacentral:lncRNA from 10 species
UGUUUAAGCAAGAUCAGCUUACUCUGAGCAGAACCAGAGAAACAAGAAGGUGCAGGUGAUGGUAAACAUGGAUUCAGCAUUUACGAUCAGGAGCUCACUAUCCUUGACAGAGAAGAAAGGACUUAGAACCGGAAUUCAACUUUGUGACCAUAAUCUGGCUACUACUGUUGAUGCUUCACUGCUGUUGAGACUUUUUGGAUUACAAUGGCACCGUUUCAGUCUAAUCAGCCAACUCUGGCCAUGAUAUUGUGGCCCUGAAACUUAACUAUGUCAUAUUUUCAGCUUUACGGACCACCUACAGAUGGACAAUUCUACAUCUUUUAUUGCAAAGAUCACCCUACAAUAGACUGCAAGCCAAGGCCACCAGGGAAACCACAUGAGAAGAGAAGUUGUUCAAUUGUCCUGGGCAAUAGACUACUGGAGAGAUUUGAAGCUAAACUGCCUUAGUUCAAGUCUUAGUUCUGUCACACAGUAACCAGUUGAGCACAGAGUAUUCAUUAUCCUGAGGCCGAGAAUUUCUGGAUGAAUGUGGUUAAAUCACUGGAACAAUAAAGCAAGACAGUUAAGAAAAGCACCUGGCACAAAGGGAGAAUGCUGCAAGAAAGAAAACACAAGCAUUUUAAAGGAACCAUAACAGUUACAAAGAAUCAGGAGACAAUGCAGGAUGGUAUAGGAGGCCAAAGGAAGAAUACAUUUCAAGCUAUUCUACUUCUACUGUUCAUCGGUUGAAAUGGUCAUCAAAAUGUAAUAAGUUGAUCGAAGACUCUCAGAUAUUACUUUAGAAUAUAUUCCUUUUAUGAAAGCUGCAUCUGUAUUUGACUUGGUAAGAUAAUAAAUUCAAGAAAAGCCCAACUGGGACCUCUAACAUACUCUUCUACAAUAUAUGAAUUUUAUACUAAAUAAGACUAUAAUAUUCUCCUCUACAAGUGGAAACCACAUCCCCAUAGGAAAUCGAGAUGCUAAACUAUUAAUAGUUUACCCAGGUUUUCUCUGCCUACCAUGGAACCUUAAACUUCAUCACAGCCUAAGCACUGUAAAACAUUAUAAUUUAUGUUCAUAUAAAUGAAACUCUCUAGACAUUCUUCAUCUUGUCUACUACUUAAUGUUUCUGAUGUUUUUAAGACAGAGAAGUUCUCUGCAUUCAACCUGAGAAAAGACAAUGUCAAAAUAAAUUUAUAUAUCAAAUAAAUACUGUCAGAAGCAUUGCUAUAAGUCUGGUAAUGUUUUAAAAUGUUGUGCCAGUAA